rnacentral:tRNA from 6 species
GGGCGCUUAGCUCAGUUGGCUAGAGCAUCUCGUUUACACCGAGAGGGUCGGGGGUUCGAGCCCCUCAGCGCCCACCA